rnacentral:lncRNA from 1 species
UGAUUCCUUCAUCAACUGAAUUGGUCUCAGACCAAAAGAAGGAUGCAAAAAGUAGAAAUAAAAUAUCUGAACACACAAGGGAUAAGCUCUUCUCCUCAGAUGAUGACAUGAAGAAUGAAAUUGAUAGCGUGGAGACAGAGAAGAAAGAAGAGAGAAAUGUCUUGCAUAAAUGGGAGCAGGAACAAGUAUUCACACCAAGUGAUACUGUGGACCGUGAUAAUAACUCUUCAAAGGAGAAUGAUGCUCAUAGUCUUCAAACAUCCCAGUUACCUUCAUCAGAGCAUGAUACCAACAAUCAAGGAAUGAAAAAUACUGGAGAGAGUUUGGAGAAUCUAGCAUCUCCAAAAGAUUUUAUGAAACAUAAAGAGGAUGUGACAGGAGACAAAAACAUCUAUCACAAUAAUAGGAAAAAACACCAGGACCCAUCAGAUGUGCCAAUGAAACAUACAAAUGAAGGGCUACAAAAUGUCAAGUCAGACCUCAACAAUUAUUCAAUGCCACCAAGACAUACAAGUCAGGACAAUAAGAUGGCCGAUGAGGACAAUACUUCUCUAGAGACACAGAAACAGAUGCCACCAGGUGGUCUUGUAAAGCCUGAAACUAAGCCAGACAAAAAAGAGACUAAACAUACCUCUGAGAUGUUCCAGUCACCUUCUUCAAAGAAAGUGCCAGAUUCUCAAGACAGAAGCUCUUCAGGAGAGAGGAAGCAAGAGACACCAGUGGCAGAAGACACUGGAUCACCUGAAACAGAGGUUGUAAAAGAGGAUAUUGAGCAGCAGUUUUCUGGGAAGCACCAGUUUUCUGGGAAGCACCAGCUACCUCCACCAAGAAAAUCAGAAAUGCGUGAGGAAAAUAAUCCAGCACUCAAACAGCAAAUGAGAUUUGAAGAUUUUCUGACACCUGAUACAAAUACUGCAAAAGAGAAAGAUGAACUUCCAAGUUCCAGGAAGUGUUCAUCAGUACCACCAAAAACAUUGGCUAAGCCUCAAGAAAAAAUUACUGCAGAACAAAAGCAAA